UACGAACUGUGCGAACGUUAUUCGGAAUCACUGGGCUUACAGGGUGCGUAGGCGGCUUAGCAAGUCAGGUGUGAAAGCCCCCCGGCUCAACCGGGGAACUGCGCUUGAAACUGCUGAGCUCGAGUCAGCUAGAGGUACACGGAACUUCCAGUGGAGCGGUGAAAUGUGUUGAUAUUGGAAGGAACACCGGAGGCGAAAGCGGUGUACUGGGGCUGGUCUGACGCUGAGGCACGAAAGCCAGGGGAGCGAACAGG
rnacentral:rRNA from 1 species